CUUUCACCUCCCGCUGCGAAGCACCAAGAUCCUGCAGGUCUAUUUCCUCCUGUAAAGCGUGUGUUAAAGAAGCGGGUAAGGCACGAGUGGGGGGGAAACCAAACAAAUUUGUCCUCAGCUGUGCACUGCUUCUGGCAGUGGGGUGACUCAAAGGGAAACCCAAGCGCUGGUGAGGGAGGGAGGAAGCGCCUGGCAGGCUGAUUUCCUCUGGGCACUCGGUCAGGGGUUAGCUCGCUCCGGGUUCCUGAUUUCACCGGGAAGCCUGUGGGGUGGUGAACAUCCUCCUGCUCCCUAACACAGAUGCCUCCUUCUAAUUCCCACCAGGACUUUGCUGCAGCCCUAAACCGGUGUUGAUGCCACCUCUGCAGAAUAACUUUCCUGAGCAAAGGAGGAGGUCUUGACCUGCGUCAGGGACGGUGGAGCCCAGGUGCUGGCUGCGCUCAGGGAAGUGGGAGCUGUGAGCCCAUCUCUCUCCUGCUAGGAAAAUGCCAGUGCCUGGUAUUUAAUCUGAAAAUGCACUGACACUUCAAUUGAAACAGAAAGGUCAUGAGUCAGAGUUUCCCUCUGAGCAUGGACUUACUUCUUCUGAGAAUGAAUCGAGCACUUCUGACCCGCUUAGCAGGAGCAACAUGGGAGUGAGUGAAAGCCUUGCUGUUUACGGGGUGAGACUGGAUCGGGCACUGAGGCUGCAAAACACCACAAGUGUAACUGCUUUCCCUCUUGUCCAAGAGACGUUUUGGUCCUGGCAUGACAGUGAAAGCAGAAAGAACUGCAGGUAUGACUUUGGGCCUCACGUGGCUCACUGGAAGCACCAGUGAUCUUGUUUACAUUGAAACCGAGAGCAGGCUCAAUGCUGCCGCUGAGAUGAGAUGAUUUUUGUGGCUGGUUCUGAUUGCCCCAUAUUACCUCUUUCAGUACUACCAUCUAUUUAUUAAGACCAGACCUGACUACAACAAAUGGUGCCUGUAUGUGGUGCCCCACUCCGUCUCAUUUCCACCCCACGGGAACGUGGCCAUGACACACGGGCUCAGGUGUCCCUGGACAUGUCACUUUGCUCCCUUUUCUCCAUCCUCCCGGCUCUUCGAAGCUGGACCCACACGUAUAGCAACGUUCUUGGGGUGGAGGCAGGGAUGUGGGGUGUCUUUGGGUGGGACCUUGAGCACCCCACUGUUAAACACACCUGUAAUGACCCCCACACAGAGCAGCUUGUUACAGAAUCGCCAGUCAGACAGAUCAAGCUGCUGGUUCGGGGGGGGGGGGAUAGUGUCUUGGGCAAAAUUUGUUCACAGGGCAAAACUCUCAAACAGCCAGAAGCAUUUCUACUGCAGUUUUCUGCAUCUGGACCUUCUGCUAGGAGAUAGUUGCGUGUUUGAGAUGUCUUGAGUAACAGAAAGAAAUAAACAGCAUGUAUUAUUUAGCAUAUUAAAAAUAGACACAAAGUAGGACUCGAAUAUUGCUCUGUGUUCAUAUUUUUUUACCUAAGGUAGUUUAAUUCUCCAUAAAAACAGCUCAUACAGCCCUGAAAAAAAAUAAAUCAUAUGUCUAGCAUAGAGGUAACAUUGAUCAAACCUGGUAAAUAUUUAAGCUGUUCACAUCCUGUGAUUGCCUGAUCAGUACCAACCAUCACUUCUUGCACCAAGCAUGAGCAAUGCCCAUCUGCAAACAAAUAUUCUAUUUUUUUCCUGGGGAAUUAGCAUCCAAUAUGAAACCCUUGCCCAUUAAAGAUGAGCACUGUCAAUGUAAGCAGCACAUUUGUUUCUGUUGGUUAGGUCCAGACACCAAGGGCUGACGUGACCAUAUGCAAAACACAAAUUCACUGGUCUGUUUGGAAAACAAGGUGGGGAUAGGACUUGGGAAUGAUUUCCUGAAGUCUCUGGUGCAAAAAGCCCUUGGGUUGUUUGCACAAGCAUCUGUGCUCUUUACAGACAGAAAGCACUGUAGGUCAGCAGGCAAACCUUUGGCAAGCAAGAUUGGCAGAAGAAAAGAGAAAGAUGAAGGGACAAGUGAAAAAAAAAGCCCACGUUCCUCCUCAUCUUCUGAAUUGCAGGACACGCUGGGAGGGUUGCUGUUACAUGUGUAAUUGCUAUAUGUGCCCUUGGAGGCCCAUCAGUAUUCUCGUUGGGUCUAAAAGGAGCUUGUGGACCUUGGUGCCCCUCCGGGUUGCUCUGCUACUCCUCAUCAGGCUCAAAAUUAUAGCAUUAAUAGAAUAACUGUGCCAUGGCAGCAGGCAAAGAAAGGCAUGGCACAUGUAGCACAGUUGCAUGGGGAACAACCACGACCCAACCAGAGAAACCCAUGGUGAGGGAAACCUACAGAAUACCUGACCUGGAGCUGACACAGAGCAGAAAAAAAAAAAAGAAUAGAAAAAAAAAAAAAAGAAUGGAGAAAAAAGAGGGUGGAUAGUGCCAAAGGUAGUAUGGCAGCAGGAGAUAAAAGGCGGAACUGUUAUCUGUGGCACGAGCAAUAGCAGGGCAAGCAGUGGAGCAGGAAAAGCAGCACAGAGAGCUGGAGCUGGCGGCUAGCACAGAUGCUGAAGAGGAUUUCUGAGACCUGUUGUGAAUCUGUGUGUGCAGGCAAAGCGUCAGCACACGUAAAGGAAAACCACAGCCAGCAGUGCCACUGGAACAAAAAACUGAGGCUCAGCAGCACGCUGGUACGUGAGCACUUCGCAGCUCCUACCCAGUCAGUAGCCAAGUUGUGUGGUGCAACAGGGAGAUGCCCCUGCCCCAGGCCUUCACAGAGUGUUUUAAGGGAGAAAAGACAAAAAAAAAAAAAUAGCCUGUGGGAGGGGUUGGCUUAUUUACAAGCACUAGUAAGCACUUUUGGGAAAGAAGCAAUUUUUAUAGCACACACACUUACCCGUAAAGACAAAAAUAGGGAUAUUUUUGCAGUGAAGGACACGGGUAAAUAAAAUAUAAAACAAAAAUAGGGAUAUUUUUGCAGUGAGUGAAUAGCAGUGAGGGACAUGGGUUGGUGAUGGGAUGCAGCAGGUCAGGCUGAUGGUUGCACUUGAUGAUCUUGACAAUUCCAUGAAAGCAUGCCGUGCCUGCCUGUCACUUGUUCUUCAUGCCCUUUCAGCGAGCCAGGGUAGCUGCCACAGUCACAAUUCUUCAAAAACCCACCCAAAAUCCUGCUGUGACAGGAGGAGACCGGUCCAGACUGGGAAAUAAAUUCUUUGGAGGUUACGAAAGAGACAGAAGUUGCAUCCAUGACAGGAAAUGCCAGAGACUGAAGUGUUUGAAACUGGGAGAAAGCUGAGGGGAAAUGCCAAACAACUUCUUGCAGAGAUGAUGCUGGUUCCUAGACACCCACUUACGGCCCCAUAAGCAUCCAUUUACGGGGCCAGACAGAGGCAGGAUACCGCACUUCUGGGAUGCGUGGCCCAUGCUGCUGCUGCGGGUACAGGGGCACCAAGGGCCCAGCCUCAAGCCCACUAUCACCAGGUGUUAUCAUGAGAGGGAAUUUAUUGCCUCUCGGCUGCUGACUGAUGCAGAAGACAGAGACGGAUGGCUCUGCGUGCCCGAACCUGCUGCAGAGCUCUUUGCUCGUGUGAGGGAUG